AGGAUGGUAGUUAAUUAUAACAUUUGGGUUGCAUUCAAAAAGUAUUGAUUUAUUCAAUCCAUCUUG
rnacentral:tRNA from 1 species